AUGUUUUUGAUAAACAGGCGAAUAUAAUUAUUUUGCCUAGUUACUUAAAUAUAUAUAUUUAUAUAUACUAUUCAUAAAAUAAUUUAUAUAAAUUAAAUUACCAAUUUAAUCAUUAUAUUAUAACUAAUAUUAUUAAAAUUAUUUUUUUUUUAAAAUCAAUAUAUAUAAUUAAUUUUACUAUAAUUAAAAAUUUAUUAAUAAAUUAUUAAAUACUCAUUAAAUUCUUUUAAAUUUUAAAAUUAAUCUUUUUAAUUUUAAUUUAAAUUAUUAUAUAAAUUUAAUUUAUAGAUUAUCCCAUAAAUUAUUUAUAUUUUCUAAAAUAAACUUUUUUAUUUAAAUUUACUUUAAAAAAUAUAUAAAUUAAAUUUAAUUCAAAAAUAACUAGAUAUCAUUAAAAUUGAAUAACAUCUAAUCUCUAAAUAUAUAUUUAUAAUUUUUAUUCAACAAAAAAAAUUUUAUAUAUUUAACUCUUUUAAUUUCGAGAUAUUUAAUUUAUUAAAAAUUUUUAAAUUAACCCUGAUACAAAAGGUACAAAAUUUUACUUUAAUUUAUAAAAUUUUAAAAUUUCAUUUACAUUACUUAUAUAUAUAAAUAUAUUUAUUAUUUCUUAAAAUAUUACUUUAACAUAAAAUUUUUAUAAAAACUUUUUAUAAUAUACUAAUUAAAAUAAUAAAAAAAUUUUAUCUAAUUAAUUA
rnacentral:rRNA from 1 species